rnacentral:rRNA from 1 species
UACGUAGGGUGCAAGCGUUGUCCGGAAUUAUUGGGCGUAAAGAGCUCGUAGGCGGUCUGUCGCGUCGGCUGUGAAAUCCCGAGGCUCAACCUCGGGUCUGCAGUCGAUACGGGCAAACUGGAGUGUUGCAGGGGAGACUGGAAUUCCUGGUGUAGCGGUGAAAUGCGCAGAUAUCAGGAGGAACACCGGUGGCGAAGGCGGGUCUCUGGGCAAUAACUGACGCUGAGGAGCGAAAGCGUGGGGAGCGAACAGG